AUGCGUAGAGAUCGGGAGGAAUACCAGUGGCGAAGGCGGCCUUUCUGGACUGACACUGACACUGAGGUGCGAAGGCGUGGGUAGCAAACAGGAUUAGAUACCCUGGUAGUCCACGCCGUAAACGAUGUCGACCAGCCGUUGGGUGCCUAGCGCACUUUGUGGCGAAGUUAACGCGAUAAGUCGACCGCCUGGGGAGUACGGCCGCAAGGUUAAAACUCAAAUGAAUUGACGGGGGCCCGCACAAGCGGUGGAGCAUGUGGUUUAAUUCGAUGCAACGCGAAGAACCUUACCUACUCUUGACAUCCAGCGAAGCCUUUAGAGAUAGAGGCGUGCCUUCGGGAGCGCUGAGACAGGUGCUGCAUGGCUGUCGUCAGCUCGUGUUGUGAAAUGUUGGGUUAAGUCCCGCAACGAGCGCAACCCUUAUCCUUGUUUGCCAGCACAUAAUGGUGGGAACUCCAGGGAGACUGCCGGUGAUAAACCGGAGGAAGGUGGGGACGACGUCAAGUCAUCAUGGCCCUUACGAGUAGGGCUACACACGUGCUACAAUGGCAGAUACAGAGGGCAGCGAGACAGCGAUGUUUAGCGAAUCCCUUAAAGUUUGUCGUAGUCCGGAUUGGAGUCUGCAACUCGACUCCAUGAAGUCGGAAUCGCUAGUAAUCGUGGAUCAGAAUGCCACGGUGAAUACGUUCCCGGGCCUUGCUACACACCGCCCGU
rnacentral:rRNA from 1 species